UCGUCACAAUGGCCAGUGUUUCCCUAGUCUGGACAGCCAGAUACUUGGAACAUGAUAAAGAUGCAAUGCUUACUGAAAGUUGGUUUGCUAUAACAUACCUAAGAAACCAAGCAUCAUGAAUUCAGCAUUCUGGUAACCUAGAGACUGAAGUAAACAAAAGUACCUCUGAGACAGCUAACAAGGAGAUCUGUAAAAUUGAUGGCUCCCUAACCGAUGCUGCUGGUGAUUCACACACAAAAGAAAGAUUCUCUCCAGCCAGAAUGUCAGCUGAGAAGCCCACAGAGCUAGUUCAGUAUGUUCCCAAGAAUCAGCCUUUUCUUCCUGCCAUUCCAGGGAAUCAGAGGUGUCCACUAGAAGAGCGACUAUCUACCCUGGAAAGAACCCUUGAUCCAGGGAAUCAGAGAUGUCCACUAGAAGACCGACUCUCUAGCCAGGAAAGAACCAUAGCUGUUCUUCUUGAACAGGCUUUUCGCAUCAAAGAGGACAUCUCAGCUUGUCUUCAAGGGAGCCAGGGAUUCCAAAAGGAAGAAACAAUGGCCCGGCAACUAUUGGAAAACCACAUCCAGACGAUCACCAGCAUUGUCAAAAAGCUCAGCCAAAACAUUGAGAUUCUAGAAGAACAAAUAAGGGCCCGGGACUCCGUGACCAGUGAAAUUAAUUAUGCUACCCAGAGUUUUAAUCAGAAUCAUCUACACGGGAUGGGGGAACUCCGUGGAAGAGUGGCUAGGUGUGAUGCAAGCAUUGCAAAGAUCUCAGGAGAUGUGAAUGUCAUCAGGCAUGAGUACCAGACAGUUGAGAAAGAUAUUCAAGCACUCAGGUCUGUCCUGGAAUCUUUUUGCAAAACCGUGGAUGUGAAGGUAAUACAGCUAUUAGGAAGGAUAGACACUUACAGCUUGGAGCAAACCUCAAACUUAAAGACAAUCCAGGGGGAUAAUAACCACGAAUUGCAACUUCUGAAUUUCAAAUUAAAUACACUUGCAAAUGAGCUCCGUGAACAAGUUGAGAACCAACAGAAGUGGAUAGAAAAUCAGCUUAUGAAAUCUGAAAAACAACAGUUCUAUCAUAUAAACCAAUUUCUCAGCACCAUAAAUGAGAAAAUGGAAGAAACAAAAAACAAUCUGGAAAGCAAAGUGAAUGACCUAAUAACAAAAUCAGAAAAGUUACUAAGCCCGGAGAGAUUUCAAAUGGAAUUGAAUAAAGUGAAGUUCGCAGAAAACAAGCUGUAUAAAAAGAUAAAUCGAAUAGAGAAGCAGAUAUGGGAAGAGCUGAACAAAAUCCAAAAUGACUACCAAUCAGAUCCUCUAAAUAACUUCUUGAAUUUUUAAUUCAAAUCUUUCAAAAUGAAGAAAAGAGGGCACUCAAUUGUGGCCACUUCUGAACCAAAAAGCAUGAAUUCUUUAUUCUGAUACACAAUGGAACAAAAGAAAAGGCAAACAAUCCAUUUAAGAGGAGAAAAGCCAGCAUAUAUAUCUACAGAUAAAGUGUUUAUGUGUACAUUUAGAAAGGACAUACUGGAGUGCUGCUACAUAUGUCUGAAUUUACAAAGAGAAACCAAGAGAAAAGAAAACAAUGUCUAUUCCACUGAAACAGGUCUCAUUCUUCUGCAUCAUCAAUCAAGUAAGUGUCAAAGAAAAUGAAAUUUGCUUCUGGGUAAAAAACAAAAACAUCUGGCAAUAAAUGAAACAUCC